AAGCAAUGCAUGAGGCUCUGCUCUCUGCUAUUUCGAUUCUGAAGUGAAGUUCACACAGCUAACUCUCUAAACCAUCUAUUAUAAGGAGCAACAAACCGACAUCGGUUCUCUGGCUUAAAGAGGCAGCAGCAGGAUCAGAAGCAAUGCACGAUGCUCCUCUGCUGUCCGCCGUUUCCAUUCUGACGUGAAGUUCACGCAGCUAACACUCUAAACCAUCUAUUAUAAGGAGCAACAAACCGACAUCGGUUCUCUAGCUUGAAGAGACAGCAGCAGGAUCAGAAGCAAUCCACGAUGCUCCUCUGCUGUCCGCCGUUUCCAUUCUGAUGUGAAAUUCACGCAGCUAACACUCUAAACCAUCAAUUAUAAGGAGCAACAAAGGACAUCGGUUCUCUUGCUUAAAGAGGCAGCAGCAGGAUCAGAAGCAAUGCAUGAUGCUCCUCUGCUGUCUGCCGUUUCCAUUCUGACGUUAAGUUCAUGCAGCUAACUCUCUAAACCAUCUAUUAUAAGGAGCAACAAACUGACAUCGGUUCUCUAGCUUAAAGAGGCAGCAGCAGGAUCAGAAGCAAAGCAUGAUGAUCUGCUGCCGGCAAUCAUCAUCAUCAUCACCACCACCAGCAGCUAGCUAGCUAGCUAGCUAGCUAGCUAGCCAGCCAGCCAGCCAGCCAGCCAGCCAGCCAUCCAGGAGGCUACUGCUAUACCAGACUUGUUCCGGAAAGUUUCCGGCAGCCGUCCCCGGAGAGAUGAUGAUUCCCGCCGGCCGGAAGAUAUCCGAGGUAAAAGUACUGUAGCCGGGCCUCUGAGACGGGGAUUGCGCCAAUAGGUUAUUGGGUGUUUCCGGCCGGCCGACAUCUGGGCCUCCGGCAUGUGCCGGAGAUGUUCCGUUCAGUUGCCGUACGGACGUGGAGAAGAUGAAUUGCCUCCCCGUUUCAACGGGAAAAGCAGGUUGAGGUGGAAGGAGCGCAGCUCAAGUGAAACCAUGUCGCAACAGUCUCCUCUGCGUUUUGCUCCAACAGUUUGGAAGCUACAUUCAAAAAAAAAAAAAAACGACUGAGACUCCGAAAAUUUUCGACGAGGAUUGCCCGUUGAAAAGACACACUGCGAUGCAUGGUGUCCCGGAGACAUAUACACCAUUUUCUCACGAUCUGUAUAUAUAUAGGGAGACGGUGGUGCUUGCCGAUCCUCCAAGAGGUGGAAGAAAAAAAGCUGGGUUAACGGUGAUUGCUCGCCCUUGAGUGUAGCAGGUUGCCUUAGCUGUCUUCCAUCGGCCCAUCUGCUCCGGCCGGCCGGCAUCUGGGCCUCCGGCAUGUACCGGAGAUGUUCCGUUCAGUUGCCGUACGGACGUAGACAAGAUGAAUUGCGUCCCCGUUUCAACGGGAAAAGCAGGUUGAGGUGAAAGGAGCGCAUCUCAAGUGAAGCCAUGUCGCAACAGUCUCCUCUGCGUUUUGCUCCAACAGUUUGGAAGCUACAUUCAAAAAAAAAAAAAAAAACGACUGAGACUCCGAAAAUUUUCGACGAGGAUUGCCCGUUGAAAAGACACACUGCGAUGCAUGGUGUCCCGGAGACAUAUACACCAUUUUCUCACGAUCUGUAUAUAUAUAUAUAGGGAGACGGUGGUGCUUGCCGCUCCUCCAAGAGGUGGAAGAAAAAAAAACUGGGUUAACGGUGAUUGCUCGCCCUUGAGUGUAGCAGGUUGCCUUAGCUGUCUUCCAUCGGCCCAUCUGCUCCGGCCGGCCGGCAUCUGGGCCUCCGGCAUGUACCGGAGAUGUUCCGUUCAGUUGCCGUACGGACGUAGAGAAGAUGAAUUGCGUCCCCCGUUUCAACGGGAAAAGCAGGUUGAGGUGAAAGGAGCGCAUCUCAAGUGAAGCCAUGUCGCAACAGUCUCCUCUGCGUUUUGCUCCAACAGUUUGGAAGCUACAUUCAAAAAAAAAAAAAAAAACGACUGAGACUCCGAAAAUUUUCGA